rnacentral:misc_RNA from 1 species
AAGUCGUAACAAGGUUUCCGUAGGUGAACCUGCGGAAGGAUCAUUACCAAAUCCAAAUUCUUAACCCCAUGUGAACUAUUGUUUUAGUCUGUCUUUGGGAGAAGAUAAAUUUAUUUUUUUCUUCUCCCAAUAGAGUCCGGCAUAACUUUAUUGUUGUGUCCAGAUUCGAAAAAAAAACAACCAUUAAACCACUUGAUUUUCUGUUGGAAUUACUUUUAUUAAUUACAAAUAAAAGACAACUUUUAACGGCGGAUCUCUUGGCUCGU